UUGACCUCGGAUCAGGUAGGGAUACCCGCUGAACUUAAGCAUAUCAAUAAGCGGAGGAAAAGAAACCAACAGGGAUUGCCUUAGUAACGGCGAGUGAAGCGGCAAUAGCUCAAAUUUGAAAGCUGGCGUCUUCGACGUCCGCGUUGUAAUUUGUAGAGGAUGCUUCGGCGAAGACUCCUGCCUAAGUCCCCUGGAACGGGGCGUCAUAGAGGGUGAGAAUCCCGUAUGUGGCGGGCAGUCUAAGCCAUGUGAAGCUCCUUCGACGAGUCGAGUUGUUUGGGAAUGCAGCUCUAAAUGGGAGGUAAAUUUCUUCUAAAGCUAAAUAUUGGCCAGAGACCGAUAGCGCACAAGUAGAGUGAUCGAAAGAUGAAAAGCACUUUGGAAAGAGAGUUAAAAAGUACGUGAAAUUGUUGAAAGGGAAGCGCUUGCAACCAGACUCGCUCGUAGUUGCUCAGCCGGCCUCUUGGCCGGUGCACUCUUCUACGAUCGGGCCAGCAUCAGUUCGGGCGGCAGGAUAAAGGUGUCGGGAAUGUAGCACCCUUCGGGGUGUGUUAUAGCCCGGCGCGGAAUGCUGCCAGCCUGGACUGAGGAUCUCGCUUCGGCAAGGAUGCUGGCGUAAUGGUUGUAAGCGGCCCGUCU
rnacentral:rRNA from 8 species